GUGUUGUAUAAAAGAAGAGAAGUUUAGCACUCACCUUGACAAGAAUGGAAGAGGCCAUCAGGCCUGACGACACACAUAUUGUUAAGGCAUUGCCACCUAUAUUGCGGCAUCUAACCAUCAUUUUUU
ensembl:snRNA